GUGGUGGACAGUUAUAGUUCCUUUCUGCAGGCUAGGAUGAAUGACUUUUCAGGAAAACCAAUUUCACAAAUCAAAAACUUUCCUCUAGAUUUCUCCUACAAUAUUCAUCCAGUUUAGUUCUUUUGGUUUAAUUGGACACCGUCCUGAUUUUUAAUUUUGCAAACCAUUCAGUCUCUUGCUUGCAAAUGGUGCAUGAAAAUAGGAUGGGUAUGGCAGUAGACAAGUCUCUUUAAAGUGGGUUUGUGCCCUGAAAAAAGUGUU
rnacentral:lncRNA from 1 species